rnacentral:rRNA from 1 species
AUUGAACGCUGGCGGAAUGCUUUACACAUGCAAGUCGAACGGUAGAGGGGGCAACCCCUCGAGAGUGGCGAACGGGUGAGUAAUAUAUCGGAACGUGCCCAGUCGUGGGGGAUAACGUAGCGAAAGUUACGCUAAUACCGCAUACGAUCUAAGGAUGAAAGCGGGGGAUCGAAAGACCUCGCGCGUAUGGAGCGGCCGAUAUCCGAUUUGGCAGUUGGUGGGGUAAAGGAUCACCAAGCCAACGAUCUGUAGCUGGUCUGAGAGGACGACCAGCCACACCGGAACUGAGACACGGUCCAGACUCCUACGGGAGGCAGCAGUGGGGAAUUUUGGACAAUGGACGCAAGUCUGAUCCAGCCAUUCCGCGUGCAGGAUGAAGGCCCUCGGGUUGUAAACUGCUUUUGUACGGAACGAAAAGGUCUCUCUUAAUACGGGGGACUCAUGACGGUACCGUAAGAAUAAGCACCGGCUAACUACGUGCCAGCCGCCGCCGUAA